rnacentral:sRNA from 1 species
CGAAAAACCAGCGUCAGAUGGCGCUGGCGAGGACAUCAAUAAGACCGACGAAUACCGUGCAGGGCUUCGGUAAGCGGUGACGCGUUGCGUCAGAUGGGACCGGGGGCGGCGGUAAAAAACUCCACGCCCUGCAACCAAUGUGGACGGAUUCUAGGGCACGGUUUUAUAGAUCGUCAACACUACAAACAGGCAAAUGUAUAACUAAUUGUAA